GACGAACGCUGGCGGCGUGCCUAAUACAUGCAAGUAGAACGCUGAAGAGAGGAGCUUGCUCUUCUUGGAUUAGCUGCGGACGGGUGAGUAACGCGUAGGUAACCUGCCUUGUAGCGGGGGAUAACUAUUGGAAACGAUAGCUAAUACCGCAUAACAAUGGAUGACACAUGUCAUUUAUUUGAAAGGGGCAAUUGCUGCACUACAAGAUGGACCUGCGUUGUAUUAGCUAGUAGGUGAGGUAACGGCCCACCUAAGCGACGAUACAUAGCCGACCGGAGAGGGGGGACGGCCAAACUGGGACCGAAAAAACGGCCCGGCCCCUUACGGGAGGAGCAGGUGGGAAAUUUCGGGAAGGGGGGCAAAGCGUAACGAGGAACGCCGCGUGAGGGAAGAAAGGUUUUGGGUUGGAAAACCCUGUUUAUUGGGGAGAAAGAGUGGUGUAAGUAAAAGUGCACACUGUGACGGUAGCUUAUCAGAAAGCGACGGCUAACUACGUG
rnacentral:rRNA from 1 species